UAGGCUUGAGUGUUGCUUUUCUCUGUGCUCUAUAUCCCCUGGGGCAAGCCAGAAGAGGGCUGUGCACUUUGGAACGUGAGUCAGUCCUACAGCGCCACCUGGAGGGAGCCUGAGGAGGCUCCCGCGGUUCGGUUUCCCGUGUCGCCCUUAAGAGUUGUACCUCGGUUGUGUGAGAUGGGUUGGUUUAGAGCUUUUCCCAAGGCCUGUUUCCCUGGAAUUUAGGCAGAACGGGCCGCAACGCCGUCUAGAGGGUAUGGCGGCGAGAAGCCCCAGCUCCGGGGGCCUCCACACCUGGUCCUCGAAGCCACAAACAAUCCGAAUUCAAAAGCCAGGCGCUGUUCACCAUGUAAUCAAUUCCCCUCUCGUCUCCUUUAUGGGGCUUUACUGUAAGGUGGCGACAGGGCAAGGCUAGCGGGGAAGCCCUGAUGUCUGAUGGCUGGGCCCGAUCAAGAUCAAGAUCAAGGUCGCUGACGCUGUGUGACCAAAGGAGCGAAAUCACAAGUAGGAAGACAGGCAAGCAGAGAGAGAGGGAAGCAGGCCUCCCACUGAGCAGAGAGCCGGAUACAGGACUCGAUCCCAGGACCCUGAGAUCAUGACCUGAGCUGAAGGCAGAGGCUUAACCCACUGAGCCACCCAGACGCCCUAUUGAAUGACUUUUGUUAUGGGCUGAAGCUUGCUCCUUGAAAUGUGUAUGUGGAAGCUCUAACCCCCUAGGACGUCAGAAUGUGACUGUAUUUGGAGACUGGCCCUUAAAGAGGUAAUUAAGGUUAAAUGAAGUCAUAUGCGUGGGCCCUAAUCCAAGAUGACUGGUGUCCUUAUAGACACAUUAAAACACAGACACGUGCGUGGAGACGAAAGACUGCGUGGAGACAUAGUGAGAAGGUGGCACCUGCAAACCAGAGAGAAGCUUCAGAAAAAAAAAAUUUUUUUCAAACACCUUGAUCUUGGACUUCUAGUCUCUAGAACUGUGAGGAAAUAAAUUUCUGUUGUUGAAA